GGUGGUAUGGUCUAGUGGUAUGACGUCACGUUGUGGUGAGAGUUCGCACUCAUUACACAUCUCCGUGCCAGCCUGGGUUCGAUUCCCGCAAGUAUUCUCCU